CACUAGAUGACGGUAGAUGACACUAGAUGACGGUAGAUGACGGUAGAUGACAGUAGAUGACAGUAGAUGACAGUAGAUGACAGUAGAUGACGGUGGAUGACGGUAGAUGACGGUAGAUGACACUAGAUGACGGUAGAUGACACUAGAUGACGGUAGACGACGGUAGUUGACAGUAGAUGACAGUAGAUGACAGUAGAUGACGGUAGAUGACGGUAGAUGACACUAGAUGACACUAGAUGACACUAGAUGACGGUAGAUGACGGUGGAUUACACUAGAUGACGGUGGAUUACACUAGAUGACGGUAGAUGACGGUAGAUGACACUAGAUGACGGUAGAUGACAGUAGAUGACAGUAGAUGACAGUAGAUGACGCUAGAUGACAGUAGAUGACAGUAGAUGACGGUAGAUGACGGUAGAUGACAGUAGAUGACACUAGAUGACAGUAGAUGACACUAGAUGACGGUAGAUGACACUAGAUGACGGUAGAUGACAGUAGAUGACAUAGAUGACACUAGAUGACAGUAGAUGACACUAGAUGACGGUAUAUGACACUAGAUGACGGUAGAUGACACUAGAUGACACUAGAUGACGGUAGAUGACAGAUGACAGUAGAUGACAGUAGAUGACGAUAGAUGACGAUAGAUGACAGUAGAUGACACUAGAUGACACUAGAUGACACUAGAUGACGGUAGAUGACACUAGAUGACGGUAGAUGACAGUAGAUGACAGUAGAUGACACUAGAUGACGGUAGAUGACAGUAGAUGACACUAGAUGACACUAGAUGACGAUAGAUGACAGUAGAUGACAGUAGAUGACUGUAGAUGACACUAGAUGACGGUAGAUGACACUUGAUGACGGUAUAUGACACUAGAUGACGGUAGAUGACACUGGAUGACGGUAGAUGACACUAGAUGACGGUAGAUGACAGUAGAUGACAGUAGAUGACGAUAGAUGACAGUAGAUGACACUAGAUGACGGUAGAUGACACUAGAUGAUACUAGAUGACACUAGAUGACGGUAGAUGACACUAGAUGACGGUAGAUGACGGUAGAUGACAGUAGAUGACGGUAGAUGACAGUAGAUGACGGUAGAUGACAGUAGAUGACAGUAGAUGACAGUAGAUGACAGUAGAUGACACUAGAUGACGGUAGAUGACAGUAGAUGACAGUAGAUGACAGUAGAUGACACUAGAUGACGGUAGAUGACAGUAGAUGACAGUAGAUGACGGUGGAUUACACUAGAUGACAGUAGAUGACAGUAGAUGACUGUAGAUGACACUAGAUGACGGUAGAUGACGGUAGAUGACAGUAGAUGACACUAGAUGACGGUAGAUGACACUAGAUGACAGUAGAUCACACUAGAUGACGGUAGAUCACACUAGAUGACGGUAGAUGACGGUAGAUGACAGUAGAUGACAGUAGAUGACAGUAGAUGACAGUAGAUGACAGUAGAUGACUG